rnacentral:tRNA from 1 species
GUUUAUAUAGUUUAAUAAAAACUAUACAUUUUCAAUGUAUAAAUGAUUUUUAUCUAUAAAUA